CUCUUCUUUAUCCUCGAAGAAAUCACUUUUGAUUUACUCCUAUUUGAAUAGAUACAACUUUUUUCUCUACUGUUUCUGCUUAUCUUCUUGAAGACUAAUUUUCAGGUGGCUGAUCUUCAAAUUUUUUGUGUUAUCUCAACAGUAACCAUUACAGAUCAAAGCACAACUUAACAAAUUCAGCUGGCUAUACUCACAGGAAAAGGGAAAGACAAGGAUCUUAAUCAAUCAACAAGAAGGGAACAAAAGACCACUCGAGGCAAUAGUCAAGCUAGCUAGAAACGAUAAUUAUGCUAAAGAGUAUUGAUUGUUGGUUUAGCUCUGGUAAUGCAAGUGUAAGCUAAUUCUUUUGCAAGGCUGUCACAUGUCCUCUGUUUUUCCUCAAAUAUUCUCUAGUUUCUUUCAAUCCAGAGAGUGUGUAGACAUUCAGCAAAUACAAGUUUGAAGAUUCUUGCUCAUUGCGAUCUUCCUUUAGCA